rnacentral:tRNA from 1 species
AGGAUAUAGCUGAGUGGCACAGUGCUUGCUUGGCAAGCAUGAGGUCCUGAGUACAAUUCCCAGUGCCUG